rnacentral:rRNA from 1 species
UUCGGUGGUUGCAAGCGUUGUUCGGAAUCACUGGGCAUAAAGGGCGCGUAGGCGGGGUCGCGUGUCCGGAGUGAAAUCCCGCGGUCCAACCGCGGAACGGCUCUGGAAACUGCGAUUCCGGAGGGCGUGAGGGGAGCGUGGAAUUCCUGGUGGAGCGGUGAAAUGCGUAGAUAUCAGGAAGAACGCCGGCGGCGAAGGCGACGCUCUGGUGCGCUCCUGACGCUGAGGCGCGAAAGCUAGGGGAGCAAACAGG